UUUCAUUUUUCCGUGUCCAAUAUUUGACUAUUCGUUUUAUUUAAAAUUUUUUUAUAAUUAAUUUUUUUAUUAUUAGAUGAUAAAAUAUGAAUAGUACUUUAUACAUAGCUAAUUUUUUAAAAUUUUUUAUAAACUUUUUAAAUAAGACGAAUAGUCAAAGAAAAAAAAGAAAAACGAGAUGGAGGUAGU
rnacentral:pre_miRNA from 1 species